rnacentral:rRNA from 1 species
GACGAACGCUGGCGGCAUGCUUAACACAUGCAAGUCCACUGGAAAGUGGGUUUUUAUCUUAGGUUUUGGUGGCGCGCGGGUGAGUAACGCGUAAAGAUAUUGCCUCACAGCUAGGGACAUCAUUUGGAAAAGAUUGCUAUUACAUAAUAUUAUGAUAAUAGGUCAUCCUAUAAUUAUGAAAGCUAUCAGCGCUGUGAGAGAGCUUUGCGUCCCAUUAGCUAGUUGGUGAGGUAGCGGCUCACCAAGGCGAUGAUGGGUAGCCGGCCUGAGAGGGUGAUCGGCCACAAGGGGACGGAGACACGGCCCGUACGCCUACGGGAGGCAGCGUGGGGGAAUAUGGGACAAGGGACCGAGAGUCUGAUAGAGCAAUUGUGUGUGCACGAUGAAGUUUCUCGGAAUGUAAAGUGCUUUCAGUUGGGAAGAAACAAAUGACGGUACUAACAGAAGAAGUGACGGCUAAAUACGUG